GACGAACGCUGGCGGCGUGCCUAAUACGUGCAAGUCGAACGCUGAAGGAGGAGCUUGCUUCUCUGGAUGAGUUGCGAACGGGUGAGUAACGCGUAGGUAACCUGCCUGGUAGCGGGGGAUAACUAUUGGAAACGAUAGCUAAUACCGCAUAAGAGUAGAUGUUGCAUGACAUUUGCUUAAAAGGUGCAAUUGCAUCACUACCAGAUGGACCUGCGUUGUAUUAGCUAGUUGGUGGGGUAACGGCUCACCAAGGCGACGAUACAUAGCCGACCUGAGAGGGUGAUCGGCCACACUGGGACUGAGACACGGCCCAGACUCCUACGGGAGGCAGCAGUAGGGAAUCUUCGGCAAUGGACGGAAGUCUGACCGAGCAACGCCGCGUGAGUGAAGAAGGUUGUCGGAUCGUAAAGCUCUGUUGUAAGAGAAGAACGAGUGUGAGAGUGGAAAGUUCACACUGUGACGGUAGCUUACCAGAAAGGGACGGCUAACUACGUG
rnacentral:rRNA from 1 species